rnacentral:rRNA from 1 species
UACAGAGGUCCCAAGCGUUGUUCGGAUUCACUGGGCGUAAAGGGUGCGUAGGUGGCAGGGUAAGUUUGAUGUGAAAUCUCCGAGCCUAACUCGGAAACUGCAUUGAAUACUAUCCUGCUCGAGGGUUGGAAGGGGGACUGGAAUUCUCGGUGUAGCAGUGAAAUGCGUAGAUAUCGAGAGGAACACCAGUGGCGAAGGCGAGUCCCUGGACAACACCUGACACUGAGGCACGAAAGCUAGGGGAGCAAACAGG